rnacentral:lncRNA from 1 species
CGGAGAGGAAGGAAGGCUGGCAGCCUCGUCACGUGUGCGCUGCAGUCGCGAAACAGUUCCGGUGGUGAGGAGACCUUUCCAAAUAUAAGAGGAAUAAAGAAGUCACCUCCCCAGCUGUCAUCAUCUUCCAGCAGAUUGAGCAAGAAUAUUUUGAGCAUUACAGAAAAGACAGUCCAUCAAACCCUAGAUGAUGAUCAGCCAUGUGAUUUUUUCAAGAAGAGGAAUAGGGUGAAUGAAUCACAUCAGAAAAGCAGGUAAAUAGUUUUAGUAUAAUUGUAUCUUGCAAAAGAUUCAUUAUCUCUGUUGUCCAGAUUGAAUAUGUAGAUUCGGGAAAAAAAGUAUGUCUAUGGAUAAGAAAUAUACAUUUAUAAUUUUUAUCUAGCAGAAAUGAGUGGAAAAGUAGUUUAAGCAUAAUUAUUAGUGGAUAAGGAUUCCAGUGGUCAUAAUUCUGUCAGUUGUUAGCAGAAUUACAAUUUUGAGUAAGUCCCUUACUCAGUUUUCUAUGUUAGUUUCCCUUUAUAUAAAAGGUUACUAACAAUAAUCAACUUUUAUGGAUGCAAACUGACAGCCAGGCAGAAACAAAAUGUUUUAACAGGUUACGAAUUCUGAAUAAUGGACGUUCUUUAAUUUUUUCAUUCACUUAUUCAACAUUUAUUGGGCACACGUUGUACUAUUGGCAAUGAUUUAAUAUCCUCCAUAUUCUCAAUUAAAAUGUAGCACAUAUUCAAAUAGCUGCUUGGUUUGUUUGAAACCACUGGCCAAAUGAACCUCUGAGGUUUCCAGAAAGCAUGUUUAUCACCCAUUUCUGUUCAUUCUAUCUGACUUAUAUUGCAGGGAAGUAUUAUUAAUCUUAAAUGCUAAGUUCUUGGUAAAUAAAUUGAAAAGAGGAUAUUUUCAACUCUAAUAGGAGAUUUGGCCUCAGAAUAAAUUACGCCUGAAAGAGUUAG